rnacentral:rRNA from 1 species
UACGAAGGGGCUAGCGUUGCUCGGAAUCACUGGGCGUAAAGGGUGCGUAGGCGGGUUUUAAGUCAGAGGUGAAAUCCUGGAGCUCAACUCCAGAACUGCCUUUGAUACUGGGAAUCUUGAGUAUGGAAGAGGUGAGUGGAACUCCUAGUGUAGAGGUGGAAUUCGUAGAUAUUAGGAAGAACACCAGUGGCGAGGGCGGCUCACUGGUCCGGUACUGACGCUGAGGUGCGAAAGC